rnacentral:rRNA from 1 species
CCUACGGGUGGCAGCAGUGAGGAAUAUUGGUCAAUGGACGAGAGUCUGAACCAGCCAAGUAGCGUGAAGGAUGACUGCCCUAUGGGUUGUAAACUUCUUUUAUAUGGGAAUAAAAUGUUCCACGUGUGGGAUUUUGUAUGUACCAUAUGAAUAAGGAUCGGCUAACUCCGUGCCAGCAGCCGCGGUAAUACGGAGGAUCCGAGCGUUAUCCGGAUUUAUUGGGUUUAAAGGGAGCGUAGGUGGAUUGUUAAGUCAGUUGUGAAAGUUUGCGGCUCAACCGUAAAAUUGCAGUUGAAACUGGCAGUCUUGAGUACAGUAGAGGUGGGCAGAAUUCGUGGUGUAGCGGUGAAAUGCUUAGAUAUCACGAAGAACUCCGAUAGCGAAGGCAGUUCACUGGACUGCAACUGACACUGAGGCUCGAAAGUGUGGGUAUCAAACAGGAUUAGAUACCCGAGUAGUC